UAAUAUGUCUUAUAGUUUAACAGAUUUUAAGGUCUCAAUUCUUUCCAUGACCUCCCUUGUAAUAGAUGAAUUCUUUUUUCUUCUUCUGCAAAUAAUAGAAAGAAAACCGUUUAAAAGUCGUUCCCUCAGAGUUAAAAAGCUCGAUAUUAUUUAAUAUUCUCGUCAUAAUAAUCUGAAUUGGAUUUCAAAAUCAUCAUUGGGAUAAAUA
rnacentral:snRNA from 1 species